AUUGCUUCUCAGCCUUUUGGCUAAGAUCAAGUGUAGUAUCUGUUCUUAUCAGUUUAAAAUCUUGGUAAAAAAAUAGCAGUUUGACAUUUUAAAAUGCACUUACU
rnacentral:snRNA from 1 species